AAAACCCAACAAGUACAUUGAAGAGUAUCCCGGGUGGGGGCGGGGCGGGGUGCGUGCAGGACGAGUCUAACCCGGGGAGGCUGGAGAGUGACCCCCGCUGCUCCCACCUCCGGGGGGCGGCCGGAGCUUUCGUGCAACCCCACCCCAGGGGUAUGUUUCCUGAAGGCCAGGCUGCCCAGACAAUCCGAAUCUCAUCUAUUUAUUAAUAAGAAAGAAGAGGAAAGAGAAAACAUAGCUAUCACUCUGGUACAUGUGUAGCUGGGGACUGAACUCAGGACCUCAUGCUUGAGAGUCUAAUGUUUUAUCUACUGUGCCACCUCCUGGACCACUUGUCUCAACUUCUUUAGGUUGAUCCUAAACUGACUUAGAUGCUGGCUAUCAGACCUUUGAAGGAAAAGAAAUGAAGACUGUCUCUUCUCAUAAGAAUUCUGACUAGUCCUGCAAGAGCCACAUGUUCUUCACUGGGUUAAGCAGUGUCCAGAGGGGUUGACUAUAAUGGAUCAGCAUGGGCUGUACACUUGCUGCUAAGUGGGAGGUCAGCUAUGGUUUCCUGAACACUAAUGAUGACCCUUGGCUUUCUUGGGAAGAAAUUACCCAUGUCUGAGGCAAACAAGCUUUUAUGAAAGU